UACGUAGGGUGCAAGCGUUAAUCGGAAUUACUGGGCGUAAAGCGUGCGCAGGCGGUUUUGUAAGUCUGUUGUGAAAUCCCCGGGCUCAACCUGGGAAUGGCAAUGGAGACUGCAAGGCUAGAAUCUGGCAGAGGGGGGUAGAAUUCCACGUGUAGCAGUGAAAUGCGUAGAGAUGUAGAGGAACACCGAUGGCGAAGGCAGCCCCCUGGGUCAAGAUUG
rnacentral:rRNA from 1 species